GAUGAACGCUGGCGGCGUGCUUAACACAUGCAAGUCGAACGGAGUGGCGAACGGGUGAGUAACACGUGGGUGACCUGCCCCGCACUUCGGGGUAAGCCUGGGAAACUGGGUCUAAUACCGGAUAGUGUGGGAUGGGCUGGCGGCCAAUCAGAUUGUUGGUGGGGUAAUUGCCGACCUAGGCGGCGACGGGUAGCCGACCUGAGAGGGGGGACGGCCACAUUGGGCCUGAGACACGGACCAGACUCCUACGGGGGGCAGCGGUGGGGAGUCUUGCGCAAUGAGGGGGAGGGUGAUGCGACGACGCCGGGUGGGUAAUGACGGCCUUCGGGUUAUAAACUCCUUUCACCGUCGACGCGGUAGAUGGAGAAGAAGCACCGGCUAACUACGUGCCAGCAGCCGCGGUAAUUC
rnacentral:rRNA from 1 species